rnacentral:rRNA from 1 species
GAUGAACGCUGGCGGCGUGCCUAAGACAUGCAAGUCGAGCGGGUUUAGACCCGCGGCAAACGGGUGAGUAAUACCCAGGAACGUACCUUUAGUUGAGCAUAACCCACCGAAAGGUGGAGCAAUUCUCAAUGUGAUCGCAAGAUUAAAGCAGCAAUGCGCUAAAGAAGCGGCCUGGGCACCAUCAGCUAGUUGGUAAGGUAAAAGCUUACCAAGGCUAUGACAGUUAGGGGCCCCGAGAGGGGAAACCUCCACACUGGAACUGAGACACGGUCCAG